GGAAUAUUGGACAAUGGGCGCAAGCCUGAUCCAGCCAUGCCGCGUGCAGGAAGACGGUCCUAUGGAUUGUAAACUGCUUUUAUACAGGAAGAAACACCUCUACGUGUAGAGACUUGACGGUACUGUAUGAAUAAGCAUCGGCUAACUCCGUGCCAGCAGCCGCGGUAAUACGGAGGAUGCAAGCGUUAUCCGGAAUCAUUGGGUUUAAAGGGUCCGUAGGCGGACAAUUAAGUCAGAGGUGAAAUUCUGCGGCUCAACCGUAGAACUGCCUUUGAAACUGGUUGUCUUGAAUCGUUGUGAAGUGGUUAGAAUGAGCAGUGUAGCGGUGAAAUGCUUAGAGAUUGCUCAGAAUACCGAUUGCGAAGGCAGAUCACUAACAACGUAUUGACAAGAAUGAAACUCAAAGGAAUUGACGGGGGCCCGCACAAGCGGUGGAGCAUGUGGUUUAAUUCGAUGAUACGCGAGGAACCUUACCAGGGCUUAAAUGUAGUCUGACAGGGGUGGAAACACCCCCUCCUUCGGGCAGAUUACAAGGUGCUGCAUGGUUGUCGUCAGCUCGUGCCGUGAGGUGUCAGGUUAAGUCCUAUAACGAGCGCAACCCCUGCCGUUAGUUGCCAGCAUGUAAAGAUGGGAACUCUAACGGGACUGCCGGUGCAAACCGCGAGGAAGGUGGGGAUGACGUCAAAUCAUCACGGCCCUUACGUCCUGGGCUACACACGUGCUACAAUGGCCGGUACAGAGGGCAGCCACACCGCAAGGUGGAGCGAAUCCUUAAAACCAACCGAUAACUGGGGCUAAGUCGUAACAAGGUAGCCGUACCGGAAGGUGCGGCUGGAACACCUCCUUUCU
rnacentral:rRNA from 1 species